rnacentral:rRNA from 1 species
GACGAACGCUGGCGGCAGGCUUAACACAUGCAAGUCGAGCGCCCCGCCAGGGCAUCGGCCGACGGGUCGGUAACGCGUGGGAUCGUACCCUUAUCUUCUGCCUAGCCCCGGGUAACUGGAAUUAAUACCGAAUGUGCCCUUUUGGGGAAAGAUUUAUCGGAUAAGGAUCGGGCCGCGUUGGAUUGGCUAGUUGGUGGGGUAAAGGCCUACCAAGGCGACGAUCCAUAGCUGGUCUGAGAGGAGGAUAAGCCACAUUGGGACUGAGACACGGACCAAACUCCGACGGGAGGCAGCAGUGGGGAAUAUUAGACACUGAGCGCAAGCCUGAUACAGCCAUGCGGGGUGAGUGAUGAAGGCGUUAGGGUGGUAAAGCUCUUUCACCGGAGAAGAUAAUGACGGUAUCCGGAGAAGAAGCCCCGGCUAACUUCGUG